rnacentral:tRNA from 1 species
GGAGAGCCAGUGUGGCGUAGUGGUUAAGAGCGGCAGACUCGUAAUCUGGUGAACAGGGUUCAAUUCCCUGCUCCUCCA